rnacentral:tRNA from 1 species
UACUUAAAUAGCUUAUGUAUUAGAGCGUAACAUUGAAGAUGUUAAGGAAAUAAAAUUAUAUUUUUAAGUAAU